UACAGAGGUCUCAAGCGUUGUUCGGAUUCAUUGGGCGUAAAGGGUGCGUAGGCGGCGAGGCAAGUCAGGUGUGAAAUCUCGGGGCUCAACUCCGAAACUGCACUUGAUACUGCCUUGCUAGAGUACUGGAGGGGAGAUUGGAAUUUACGGUGUAGCAGUGAAAUGCGUAGAUAUCGUAAGGAAGACCAGUGGCGAAGGCGAAUCUCUGGACAGUUACUGACGCUGAGGCACGAAGGCCAGGGGAGCAAACGGG
rnacentral:rRNA from 1 species